GGCAGAGAAAGAAGCAAGCUAUUGCUGGGUAAGAUAUUUAUAUGAUAACUCCUUAUAAUUUCUCUAUUUAUGAUAUAACUGACUGGAUAUUGGAUACCGAUAGCCCUUACCAUAUUUGCAAUUCGUUGCAGGGGUUGCAAGUCAGUAGGAGAUUCGAGCAAGGUGAGAGGUUCCUGAAUGUUGGAGAUGAAAGACCAGUUUCAGUUCUAGCAUUAAGAAUCUUGAAAUUUGUAUUUGAGUCCCAUACCGUUGUUCUUAAGGAUUGUCAUUUCUGUCCCAG
rnacentral:lncRNA from 1 species